GAGUCAAACAAAAUGGACUUUAGGACGGUGCUGCUAACUGUGACUCUCUGCUGUGCAGGUGUUGAUGGUCAGACUCUGACAGAAUCUGAACCAGCAGUAAAAAGACCAGGAGAAUCCCACAGACUGACCUGUACAGCCUCUGGAUUCACAUUCAGCAGCUAUGAAAUGAACUGGGUCAGACAGGCUCCUGGAAAAGGGCUGGAGUGGAUCGCUCGCAUCUGGGAGAGUGGUAGCAGAACUUUCUACUCUCAGUCAGUCCAAGGCCGUUUUACCAUCUCCAGAGACAACAGCAGACAGCAGCUGUAUCUGCAGAUGAACAGCUUGAAGACUGAAGAUUCUGCUGUUUAUUAUUGUGCUCGAAGGCCACAGUGA